rnacentral:rRNA from 1 species
AUCGCUGAUAGAUAGGCAUGCGUUCCAUUAGGCAGUUGGCGGGGUAACGGCCCACCAAACCGACGAUGGAUAGGGGUUCUGAGAGGAAGGUCCCCCACAUUGGUACUGAGACACGGACCAAACUCCUACGGGAGGCAGCAGUGAGGAAUAUUGGUCAAUGGGCGCGAGCCUGAACCAGCCAAGUCGCGUGAGGGAUGAAGGUUCUAUGGAUCGUAAACCUCUUUUAUAAGGGAAUAAAGUGUGGGACGUGUCCUAUUUUGUAUGUACCUUAUGAAUAAGGAUCGGCUAACUCCGUGCCAGCAGCCGCGGUAAUACGGAGGAUCCGAGCGUUAUCCGGAUUUAUUGGGUUUAAAGGGUGCGUAGGCGGCCUUUUAAGUCAGCGGUGAAAGUCUGUGGCUCAACCAUAGAAUUGCCGUUGAAACUGGGGGGCUUGAGUAUGUUUGAGGCAGGCGGAAUGCGUGGUGUAGCGGUGAAAUGCUUAGAUAUCACGCAGAACCCCGAUUGCGAAGGCAGCCUGCCAAGCCAUGACUGACGCUGAUGCACGAAAGCGUGGGGAUCAAACAGGAUUAGAUACCCUGGUAGUCCACGCAGU